rnacentral:rRNA from 1 species
GGCGAACGCUGGCGGCGUGCCUAAUACAUGCAAGUAGAACGCUGAAGGAGGAGCUUGCUUCUCUGGAUGAGUUGCGAACGGGUGAGUAACGCGUAGGUAACCUGCCUGGUAGCGGGGGAUAACUAUUGGAAACGAUAGCUAAUACCGCAUAAUAGUAGAUGUUGCAUGACAUUUGCUUAAAAGGUGCAAUUGCAUCACUACCAGAUGGACCUGCGUUGUAUUAGCUAGUUGGUGGGGUAACGGCUCACCAAGGCGACGAUACAUAGCCGACCUGAGAGGGGGGUCCGCCACACUGGGACUGAGACGCGGCCCAGACUCCUACGGGAGGCAGCAGUAGGGAAUCUUCGGCAAUGGACGGAAGGCUGGCCGAGCAACGCCGCGUGAGUGAAGAAGGUUUUCGGAUCGUAAAGCUCUGUUGUAAGGGAAGAACGAGUGUGAGAGUGGAAAGUUCGCACUGUGACGGUAUCUUACCAGAAAGGGACGGCUAACUACGUG